UUCCCCAACCGUUCGAUUUUCGCUUUAAUUUUCACAAAUCCGACUCACCCUCUCUCUGUAACCUUUAUUUCCCCAUCUCUUCGUUUUUGUUCUUUAUCCUUGCAAAAUGGGUGCGAAAUACGCGAUGAUUUUUUAUUCUUCUCUUCUCUUUUCGACUUCUCUCCAUAAAGGUGAUGGCUUCUAGGGGAGCGAACAUGGUGCUAUCAAGGGUCCAAUAGGAUAAAAACGAAGUUACAAUCAGCACUGGAAACCACGGUUCUGGAGGUAGAAGAAGUGUCGCACCAGCAUGCGGGUCACGCUGCCAUAAAAGGAACCUGCGGGGAAGAGACCCAUUUCAACCUGAAGGUCGUCUCACGCAAGUUCGAUGGCCAGAGUCUUGUGAAACGGCACCGUAUGGUCUACGACUUCCUCCGAUGAGCUUCAAUUUGGAUUGCAUGCUCUCUCUAUCGUGGCCAAAACGCCUUAGGAAACCUCUGCCAAAUGAAGCAAUAUGAAGUUCUUACCUUCCGCGUUUGCUCAUUGAAUUGCACUAUCAUGUCUAAGUUGGCUCAACUUCCUUCUAGAUUUUGUGGUAAAUGAACAAUCAAAGCUCAGCUCUGCAUUUUUCUUUAGAUACUCAACUUUUAAGCUUAGCUGUUGUGAUUAUCUAUCAUGUAUUACCAUUUUGACUUAACAAGAAUGCCAAGGCUACCGAAUUUUUCCUUCAGCUGAACUAUAGUACCCUUUCAAAUUUUUUUUGAAAGCGUUGAGGGAAGGGAGAGCUUAUGAAGAGUGAAUUCUUUCAUUGUUUUAAUUUACUUUCCCAUUUUUUUUUUCAUAUUUGAGAUAUUGUAAUGUAACAUAUGUGCAUAAGCUUUUGUAGUGUAUUUUAAAUUUCUAUCUCUGUCAAUAUUCCUCAAUGACCUUGGUCUUCUAAAUAGCAUUUUCUUCUGGCUUCCCUGAUUUUGGUUUUCCAUUUCUUUGUCUCCCCUUGAAUGCUUUUUUGUGUGAGGUCUUGUGAAUUGUGUCCAUUCCUCAAAGCUUUCAUGAUUUACAUAUAUAUAUAUAUAUAUAUAUAUAAAGGUCUGUUUGGUUCACAAGAGAGAGUGAAAAAGUGAAGGAGCAUUAUAUUAGAGCAGCUUAAUGGUGAAUUAUUUCUUUCAUUUCCUUUCCCACUUGCUUAAACCUCACAAGGGCAAAGUUUUUGUUUGGCUGACAAGAAAAAUUAUGAGAUAAAGAAUCACGUACCCUUUUCACAUUUGCUAAAUCUCAAAUCAGUAAGGGCCUAUUUGGUUCACAAGAACGAAUGAAAAAGAAUAAUGAUAGUGAAACUGGAUCUGAGAACUUGAGAGGGUAAUGUGACCGGGGGAAUUGGGUGAAUACAGAGCUGUGUUUUUUGGAUUGUGUGAUCUGUGGUUAGUUGUUAAUUCAGUUGGCUGUUCUUAUGCUCUAGAGUGAGUUUUAAUAGUGAUUGAAGCUUUUGCUGUCUAUAAGUAGAUUGAAAAAAGAAGAAAAAUAUUAAUAUAGGUAGGAACAUAUACUUAUUUUUGCAUUCAUGUUUCAGUCAAUCAUGGUGGUUGUCUUAUUAAGCAGUAUUUUAACUUUUUGAGUUUGAAAUAAUGGCUGGAACUUCUCCUCCUCUUUCUCUUGCUACUUGUCACCAGUACAAGUCUAAAAAUAGAGUUCAUCCUAAAAGAUUAGUUUAUUGGGUGGAAAAGCCUUUUGAAUUUAUAAACCUCACUUCAUUUAUAAGAGUCUUGACACUAUUUAUUUAUGAAAAUUCUAGUACGAGUUUGCCUAAGUUGUAUUAUUGAGGUAAAAUUAUUGCAUAGAUCCUUGUAGGAAUUCAGAAAUAUUUGCUGAAGUUGGUAAUUUAUCUACCACACAGUAGCCACAUAGGAAAUUUGUUUAUAGAAUUUGAAUUGUUAAGUCGUGUUUUUCUAUCCAUAUCACCACCUUACCUGGCUACAAUUUGCUACAUUUGGUAAAGCUUAAAAUGUUGAGAUUAUUAUGUUAGGUGAAGUGAAACUAUUAAUGUUGAGUCUAUUUCCUUAUCAUGUCCUUCUGUAGAGUCUGUUUUACUGUUCCAACGCUAAACUAAAUAAAUGCAUUGAAUUUAUUGUUUAUUUACAUUGGAAGUUACUCAGUGUCAUUGAUGACUAAUUUAUGUUUUACAAAAAAUAUUAAUUGAAAUCUUAUUUUACUAAAAAUGUUCAUAUUUUUACAUUUAUACCCUUGAAUUUUCCUAGUAACACAUUCAUGUGAUAUUUAAAUAUGUAGCAUUUAUGGAUGAGGAAUUAAAAAAAUAAGGGUAUAAAUGAAAAAAAAAUAAAAUUUAUCAAAUAUCCUAUAUUUUAAAACAAGAUGUGGUUCUAGAAAGUGAUUUAUAUUGUGAUUUAGAGAAAAUAUUUGUUUAAGGACACCCUGAUAUGUGCAAUCAAUAGGAGUAUAAAUUUUGAAACCAAAAAAAGCCUCUCAACUAAUUUCUAUAUUUUGAAUGGAAUGGAUGACGGAGUGUUAUUUCAAAACAAACACGUCUUCACUUUUUCCAUACCAUCAAAAGAACCUUGUCAAGUCGUUAUGGCAUGUGGAGUUAAUUCGUUGGUUUUAGUCAAAACCACAGUUGAUUUUUCUUUAUUUUGGUCAUUUAACAAAAUACUAAACACAUGCAUCAUUUUUGUCUAAGAGCGAUAGGAAAUUCUAUGGGAAGAUUUUGUCCCCUAUUAAUUUAUGGUAUAGCUUAGUAGAUACUCCCUCCAUUCAAAAAUUUAAAUCAUUUUUAAUUGAAUUUUACCCUCUAAUAAAGUAGUUACCUAAUUUUCAACUAAUUCUAUCUUUUUAUAUUUAUCUCUAGUAAACACGUUUUAAUAAAUAUAAUGUCAUUAUCAAUAUGAAUAUUUUUUAAAAAUAAAAAUAAUAAUUAUAUUUCGAAAGACUAAAAGUUUCUUAUAUUUUUUAACAUCCAAUUCCUUAAAAAAUGUCUUACAUUUUUGAACGGAUGGAUUAUGGGGUAUGUUUUUUAUAUAAUUUUAACUCACUCCUAUAUUUGUAUGAUAAUAAUUACUGUCGUUAAUUUUUUAUUUUUUCUAAAAAAUUUAAAUUUGCAGAGAUCGGCAAUUUAAAGUAAGAACAAGGAUGGAACGUCAACACAAGACUUAAUUAACUUCUUUAUAGAUUUUACCAUCUGAUUGUUUUUUACUUAUAACACAACACACUGUACUUUAGAUUUUAACCUUCAUUUAUUAAAUUAAAAUAAGUUCAUAGUUGGUUUCUCAGAGAGAGAGAGAGAGAGAGAGAGAGAGAGAGAGAUUGCUAUAAGCAGCCCAAAUAAUAACCUAAGCUGUUCUUUUAAAAGCUUCAAGAGUUAUUACCCCCAAAAAAAAAAAGCUUCAAGAGUUCCCAACUUUGAUAAACAGGGAACGAAGUUCUCUUGUUUUUUCUUGAUGAGAAUGGUUACUAUAUUUCAUGAGCAGAUCUCAUAAACAUUGUAAGGAAAAGGUUACAAGUAGAUGCAAAUACAUUUUUACAUGAAUCAUUUUUUCUGUACUCAUAGGAUGAAAAUAUUACAAUAUUAUUAUUUGGUUUUUGCAAAAUUUAGACAUAUAUUUAGAAUCUUUUGAAAUAAAAUAUCACCAAAGCUAUAAGUGAGGUGAGUCACAUUCUUUUUCCCUAGGAACAUUUGAUUCUAUUGAUAACAUCUAAUAAGGUAGGUAACUCUGAUAUAUUUGAAUAUUUGAUACAUUUAUUUAUAAAAGAAAAAACUACUGAUGAAUCAUCUCACAGGCACCAAGCUUAUACAAUGUGGAAGUACUAAACAAGGAAAACGCUUAGGACUGAGAUCUCCAUGACUACAAACUUCAAUUACCAUGUUUUUCUCAAUAUUGUAAAGGUAGAAAACAUCAUCCAAAUUCACCAACAGCACCCCAUCCUUGAAGCUUGAAAGACCCACCCAUAAGUUCCCACCUGAAUCUGCUCCUUGCAAAAUGUGUUUCUUCAAUUUGCCAUUGAACUUGGGAUUCUUGCUUCCAAUAUCUCCCAAGGAUUUCAAAACCUUCAGUUUCCAUUUAGUUUUAAUGUAAUCUUCAAGAUACCACACAUAAAUGCCCUGUUUUGAUAUCAUAACAUAGUGAAAAAUCCCUUCCCAUUCCCCAAUACAUGUGACUCUGAAUCCUGAGAAUGAAGUGGGUGGUGGAAUUACCAAACAUGACUCCUUCUCAAGGUCAAAAGUGAGAAUGGGACCAUUAUCAGCCUGCCAAUGUAAGACACCCUUAAUGUAAAUACCUGGGACAUUCUCCAAUACCUCAUGGUUAUAAAUGCACGUCUUGUCUGAUUUUUUCCAUGAUUUAGUUUCUGAUGAGUAUAUUUCAAAAUAAGUACAGUACUGUAUAUUAUGUACACCUCUCCCAUCUUCAUCUUCAACAAUCUCUUGAUCUUGCAUCUCAUAUGCAUCAAUCAAAUCUUGCUUGACUCUUACCAAGUUGAAUUUGGUGGAUAUGUCUAUGGGGUCUUUAUGAGGGUCAAAAGCAAACGCAAAACCAUCAAAUCUGUUAUAAUGAGGACAAUCCAGAGAAAUCCAUUGCCUGUUUGUGGGGUUGCAGAUAUAAAGGGUGGUUGUUGUAGGGGAAGUCAAGAAGCCACAACUGCGACAACAGAUUAGACCAUUGCAUGAAGACAAGACAAUAACAUCUUCAGGAAGGAAGCUGAAGGUAUUGCGUUGAACAGUGGGACUUGGUCUUUCGUUGUGACUAUCAUGAUGGUGAUCAAAAAGAGGAAUGUUUAUGUAACUCUUGCCUUUAAGGUCUUCAUCAGUCCACAUUUUCUCUUGAAAAAUGAACCCUGAUAGGACUAACUCCAUCUUCUCUAGCUGAGCUUUGAUAGAGGAGCGAUUAGCGGAGACAGACUGAUACUAUUUCUCAGAAAUACACUUGAAGCCAAACAAGGUUUUUACUGGAAGAGGGGAUAAAAAAUUCAAGUUCUCAUUGUGCAGUAACUCAUGAAGCUUCCUUUCCUAAAAUUUGUAGAGAGAAUUGUAACAGAUUUAAUUAGUGUCCAUUUUAUACUGCAUGUAAAAUUUGGAGCGGGUUGUUUCAAAAUGCAAAGAGGAAGAUGUUAAA